GAAAUCCAUGAUGACAAUGACAAGCAAACUCAUGCCUUCAGACAGGAUGCACUACAAUAGAGGAAGAAACGGGAACUCACAAUGGAGUGGCAAGCACUAUUGUUUAUGGACAAACUUCCCCUUGGGAGGUCUUCAUCACAACCACGUCAAUUUUAGGUGAGAAGAUAAAGACUCAGAGCAGCAAUGUGAUGCAAGCAG
rnacentral:lncRNA from 1 species